rnacentral:rRNA from 1 species
GCGGAGGAAAAGAAACCAACAGGGAUUGCCCCAGUAACGGCGAGUGAAGCGGCAACAGCUCAAAUUUGAAAUCUGGUCCCCCCGCGGGGCCCGAGUUGUAAUUUGAAGAGGAUGCUUCUGGCAAGGUGCCGUCCGAGUUCCCUGGAACGGGACGCCGCAGAGGGUGAGAGCCCCGUACGGUCGGACGCCGAGCCUCUGUGAAGCUCCUUCGACGAGUCGAGUAGUUUGGGAAUGCUGCUCAAAAUGGGAGGUAAACCCCUUCUAAAGCUAAAUACCGGCCAGAGACCGAUAGCGCACAAGUAGAGUGAUCGAAAGAUGAAAAGCACUUUGAAAAGAGAGUUAAAAAGCACGUGAAAUUGUUGAAAGGGAAGCGCUUGCGACCAGACUCGCGCCCGUCGGAUCAGCCGUCGCUCGUCGGCGGCGCACUCCGGCGGGCUCGGGCCAGCAUCAGUUCGCCUCGGGGGGAGAAAGGCGGCGGGAAUGUGGCUCUACGGAGUGUUAUAGCCCGCCGCGUAAUACCCCCGGGC